UACGAAGGGGGCGAGCGUUGUUCGGAAUUACUGGGCGUAAAGGGCGCGUAGGCGGCGACCCAAGUCAGAUGUGAAAGUCCUGGGCUUAACCUGGGGACUGCAUUUGAUACUGCCUUGCUUGAGGACUGGAGAGGAGACUGGAAUUCACGGUGUAGCAGUGAAAUGCGUAGAUAUCGUGAGGAAGACCAGUGGCGAAGGCGGGUCUCUGGACAGUUCCUGACACUGAGGCACGAAGGCCAGGGGAGCAAACGGG
rnacentral:rRNA from 1 species